UGGGGAAUAUUGGACAAUGGGCGAAAGCCUGAUCCAGCCAUGCCGCGUGUGUGAAGAAGGUCUUCGGAUUGUAAAGCACUUUAAGUUGGGAGGAAGGGCAGUAAGUUAAUACCUUGCUGUUUUGACGUUACCAACAGAAUAAGCACCGGCUAACUUCGUGCCAGCAGCCGCGGUAAUACGAAGGGUGCAAGCGUUAAUCGGAAUUACUGGGCGUAAAGCGCGCGUAGGUGGUUCAGCAAGUUGGAUGUGAAAUCCCCGGGCUCAACCUGGGAACUGCAUCCAAAACUACUGAGCUAGAGUACGGUAGAGGGUGGUGGAAUUUCCUGUGUAGCGGUGAAAUGCGUAGAUAUAGGAAGGAACACCAGUGGCGAAGGCGACCACCUGGACUGAUACUGACACUGAGGUGCGAAAGCGUGGGGAGCAAACAGG
rnacentral:rRNA from 2 species